rnacentral:rRNA from 1 species
UGGGGAAUAUUGCACAAUGGGCGAAAGCCUGAUGCAGCAACGCCGCGUGAGUGAUGAAGGUCUUCGGAUUGUAAAGCUCUGUCUUUUGGGACGAUAAUGACGGUACCAAAGGAGGAAGCCACGGCUAACUACGUGCCAGCAGCCGCGGUAAUACGUAGGUGGCGAGCGUUGUCCGGAUUUACUGGGCGUAAAGGGUGCGUAGGCGGAUGUUUAAGUGAGAUGUGAAAUACCCGGGCUUAACUUGGGUGCUGCAUUUCAAACUGGAUAUCUAGAGUGCAGGAGAGGAGAAUGGAAUUCCUAGUGUAGCGGUGAAAUGCGUAGAGAUUAGGAAGAACACCAGUGGCGAAGGCGAUUCUCUGGACUGUAACUGACGCUGAGGCACGAAAGCGUGGGUAGCAAACAGGAUUAGAUACCCUGGUAGUCCACGCCGUAAAACGAUGAGUACUAGGUGUAGGAGGUAUCGACCCCUUCUGUGCCGCAGUAAACACAUUAAGUACUCCGCCUGGGAAGUACGAUCGCAAGAUUAAA